rnacentral:lncRNA from 1 species
GGUGGCUCACAACCAUCCCUAACGAGAUCUGACUCCCUCUCCUGGUGUGUCUGAAGACAGCUACAGUGUACUUAUGUAUAAUACAUAAAUAAAUCUUUUUUAAAAAAAAGAGGAGGAAGACAAAGUAUUGUCUAACACAGUUUACUUAAGGACCAGUGACCACUACUUUCCUGCAAAACAAAAACCAACAAAAAAAAAAAAACCUGGAAAGAAAUUGUUGUGCUGUGGACAAGAAAUCUCAGCAUACACAGAGAGACUAGAUGCUUUUACUAAUGAUGAUCCAAGCAGCGCCAAGUCCCAGUGCUAAAGCGGCAGACAAACACAAACAGAGAGAACUUGGAAGAGGCCUCCCCAUUGUGGACAAGAGAAGCACGGGAACAGACUGGACGCAGAUUCCUCACUGUGUGUUCUUCAGAUGGCCUCAGCCAUGGCCACUGAACCUCUAGUCGCUUCUAUCUUGGGACAGAAUUUUAUUUUGCUCUCUUCUAGGAGUGUUGUGAUAAAGGCAGCAACGAAGUAUCCUAGAAAUAGCUGGCAGGGGAAGGUCCUAUGAGGACAGCAUUAACUGGUGGCACAGUGGACAACACGUGAUACACACGUGCGAGCUGUAUCAGCCAUCACGAUGACACGGGGGUCACUUCAUUUCCUUUUCUUUCUCUUCAUCCAUCAGAGCAAAUUCCACAGUCAAGAUGUUUACACUUGAGGUGACCAUUUUGGUUUCCCUGCACCCAGGGAAGGACGUUACAGUUCCUCCACUCAGGAACGCGCCCCUGAAUUUACUGUGGAACAGCAGGCUCUUGUAGAAGUCAUUACAGGCUCGGGGUAGCUCGGCAGAGCCUUGUGGUUUUCUUCUGGAUCAAACAGUCCUUGCUGAUUCGUGAGUGGUGGCUGCCGAGUGGACUGGACUGCAGCUGCUGAUUCAUGUUGGUGUUUUGUUAGAAGACUGGACUGCUGACAACGAAGAUUGGAAUCGCCCCAGAGAACUAUUUCUAAGCAGAUCCUGGUUGACAUACUUUGGUUAGCAUCAAUAGUGAGAAGCAAAACUACAGAAGCCCCAAAGCAAGACAUAGGCAUGUCCACGUGAGCAGGCGUAUGGAAAUCAUACAGCAAGUGUAUGGAAAUCAGAAGACAACUUUCUGGGCUUGAUCCUCCAUCACGUGGUUCCAGGGUUCAAACCCAAGGCAUCAGACUUGGCAGCUAACGCCUUUUCCACUGAGUCAACUUGCUAGCUACAAACUUGGAUUUUGUUUGUUUGUUUGAGACACAGUCUCACCAUGAAGCCUCAGUUGGCUUGGCACUCACUUUGUAGACCAGGUUGGCCUCCAAUUCAGAGAGCCAGCUGCAUCUGUCUCCAGGACGCAGGGGCUGAAGACAUAUGUCACCACACCUGUCAAAAACAAUACAAAACACAGCAGUCCGAUGCCGGGCUAACUUUAAUUCCAGCACCUGAGAAGCAAAGGCAGCUGGAGCUCCGAGUUCAAGACCAGCCUGGUCUACAGCCAGGGCUACACAGAGAAACCUGUCUUGGAAAACCCAAGCCAACAACAACAUGUUUUAAUAAUACUUUUUCCAAUGAUGUUUAGUCUAUGAAUAAGUGUUUGAUUAUUAUAUGACUCGGCUAAGAAGAUGAGUGCUUCUCCUCCAAGAGAAUACAGCUCAGAUCUGGGCAUUGGCGGGCAUCUUCAUUUAGCUUACUCAGUAAGAUAGAAAGAACAUUAGAACUCACGCAUUGAUCAGUGACAACAGUACUGUACGGAAGCAUAUGGGAGCUUACCAACAGCAGCCCAGUUUCUUGUGCUUCUUACCGCAGUGGCUGCUCUAGCUGCCCUUCCACUCCGAUCCGCUUCAUUAACAUUGUCUCUCCCAUAUGCAGCUUGCUUCCACGAGUUAAGCCUGAAGCUGAGGGUGUAGUUCAGCUGGUAGAGUGCUUGCGAACACACACAAAACCCUGACUUUGAUCCCCAGGACUGCACAAACCACAACAACGGGCUGGAGCCAUACCUAUACUCCCAGCCCCUGUGGAAACAGGGAGCUCAGAAGGCCAAAGUCAUAGCCGGCUACAGGGGAAGUCACAAGACCUUGUCCGCAAAUAAAUAAAGCUUUAUUGGAUCACAGCCAUGUCCAUCCUCUCUGUGUGGUCUGCGGUCACUUUUGUAGUAAGAGAUGAAUAACUGUUACAGAGACAAUGUGUUAGACAAAUCUACAAUAUUUCCUAGUUGACUACUUUGUUUGGGACACUGCCUCCCUGUGUAUCCCAGGCUGAUCUGGAACUAUGUAGCCCAGGCUGGCUUGGAACUCAGGCCUGCUUCUGCCUCUUGAGUGCUGAGAUUACAGGAAUUUAUCACUACAACCUGUUAGUAGUUGGCUUUUUUAUAUAUAUAUAUAAAAA